rnacentral:rRNA from 1 species
CCCUUAGAUGUUCUGGGCCGCACGCGUGCUACAAUGAUGAAUUCAACGAGUUUAUAACCUUGGUUGAAAAGCCUGGGUAAUCUUUUGAACUUUCGUCGUGAUGGGGCUAGACCCUUGCAAUUAUUGGUCUCCAACGAGGAAUUCCUAGUAAACGCAAGUCAUCAGCUUGCAUUGAUUACGUCCCUGCCCUUUGUACACACCGCCCGUCGCACCUACCGAUUGAAUGGUCCGGUGAAAUCUUCGGAUUGAGACUUUGAUUUCUUCACGGAAAACGCUGUUUUAAAAAGUUGAUUAAACCUUACCAUUUAGAGGAAGGUGAAGUCGUAACA